UAUUGGACAAUGGGCGAAAGCCUGAUCCAGCAAUACCGCGUGUGUGAAGAAGGCCUUAGGGUUGUAAAGCACUUUCAAUUGGGAGGAAAACCUGCCGGUCAAUACCCGGUAGCUUGACAUUACCUUUAGAAGAAGCACCGGCUAACUCCGUGCCAGCAGCCGCGGUAAUACGGAGGGUGCGAGCGUUAAUCGGAAUUACUGGGCGUAAAGCGUGCGUAGGCGGUUCGUUAAGUCAGAUGUGAAAGCCCUGGGCUCAACCUGGGAACUGCAUUUGAAACUGGCGGACUAGAGUUAGUAGAGGGGAGUGGAAUUUCAGGUGUAGCGGUGAAAUGCGUAGAUAUCUGAAGGAACACCAGUGGCGAAGGCGACUCCCUGGACUAGAACGACGCUGAGUACGAAA
rnacentral:rRNA from 1 species